UAUGGCGACCGGCGCACGGGUGAGUAACACGUAUCCAACCUGCCGAUGACUCGGGGAUAGCCUUUCGAAAGAAAGAUUAAUACCCGAUGGCAUAGUUCUUCCGCAUGGUGGAACUAUUAAAGAAUUUCGGUCAUCGAUGGGGAUGCGUUCCAUUAGGUUGUUGGCGGGGUAACGGCCCACCAAGCCUUCGAUGGAUAGGGGUUCUGAGAGGAAGGUCCCCCACAUUGGAACUGAGACACGGUCCAA
rnacentral:rRNA from 1 species